GACGAACGCUGGCGGCGUGCUUAACACAUGCAAGUCGAGCGAGAAACCUUCGGGUUUCUAGCGGCGGACGGGUGAGUAACACGUGGGUAACCUGCCUCAAAGAGGGGGAUAGCCUUCCGAAAGGAAGAUUAAUACCGCAUAAUAUUACAGUUUCGCAUGAAGCAGUAAUUAAAGGAGUAAUCCGCUUUGAGAUGGACCCGCGGCGCAUUAGCUAGUUGGAGAGGUAACGGCUCACCAAGGCAACGAUGCGUAGCCGACCUAAGAGGGUGAUCGGCCACAUUGGAACUGAGACACGGUCCAGACUCCUACGGGAGGCAGCAGUGGGGAAUAUUGCACAAUGGGCGAAAGCCUGAUGCAGCAACGCCGCGUGAGUGAUGAAGGUCUUCGGAUUGUAAAGCUCUGUCUUUUGGGACGAUAAUGACGGUACCAAAGGAGGAAGCCACGGCUAACUACGUGCCAGCAGCCGCCGUAACAC
rnacentral:rRNA from 1 species